rnacentral:rRNA from 1 species
CCUACGGGUGGCAGCAGUGGGGAAUAUUGCGCAAUGGGCGAAAGCCUGACGCAGCGACGCCGCGUGAGGGAUGAAGGUCUUCGGAUCGUAAACCUCUGUCAGCAGGGAAGAACGGUCACUGUGCUAAUCAGCAGUGAAUUGACGGUACCUGCAAAGGAAGCACCGGCUAACUCCGUGCCAGCAGCCGCGGUAAUACGGAGGGUGCGAGCGUUAAUCGGAAUUACUGGGCGUAAAGCGCUCGUAGGCGGUAUGUCAAGUCAAGGGUGAAAUCCCCGCGCUCAACGUGGGAACUGCCUUUGAAUCUGGCAAACUGGAGUGUGUGAGAGGAUAGUGGAAUUCCAGGUGUAGGAGUGAAAUCCGUAGAUAUCUGGAGGAACAUCAGUGGCGAAGGCGACUAUCUGGAACAUUACUGACGCUGAUGCACGAAAGCGUGGGGAGCAAACAGGAUUAGAUACCCGGGUAGUC